rfam:Picea glauca, whole genome shotgun sequence.
AUGUACAUCCCUACAAUAUAGCAUUAAUGCACUGGAUCCCAUUAGAACUUCGUAGUUAAGCAUGCCUAGUCUAGAGUAGUAUUGGGAUGGGUGACCUCCUGGGAAGUCCUAGUGUUUUACAUG